rnacentral:rRNA from 1 species
AGGAAGAACGCCUGUCGGUUAAUACCCGGCAGGGGAGACAUCACUCGCAGAAGAAGCACCGGCUAACUCCGUGCCAGCAGCCGCGGUAAUACGGAGGGUGCGAGCGUUAAUCGGAAUUACUGGGCGUAAAGCGUGCGUAGGCGGCUUGAUAAGCCGGUUGUGAAAGCCCCGGGCUCAACCUGGGAACGGCAUCCGGAACUGUCAGGCUAGAGUGCAGGAGAGGAAGGUAGAAUUCCCGGUGUAGCGGUGAAAUGCGUAGAGAUCGGGAGGAAUACCAGUGGCGAAGGCGGCCUUCUGGACUGACACUGACGCUGAGGUACGAAAGCGUGCGUAGCAAACAGGAUUAGAUACCCUGGUAGUCCACGCCGUAAACGAUGUCGACUAGCCGUUGGGGUCCUCGAGACUUUUGUGGCGCAGUUAACGCACUAAGUCGACCGGCCUGGGGGAGUACGGCCGCUAGGGUUAAAA